CAGAAUCUAAACAGUCAAUAUCCCACUUUUCAGCUACAGGUGAAGCCAAUUAAUGCAGACUCUCCCCCUGUGUACUUGGACUGAGCCUAUGAUGUCACUGCUGGCCUCAAACUGCAUAUAAAUACAGGAACCAAUUGGGUGCCUCCCAAACACCAGGGCCCUGUUCCUCGUACAAGGCUAACUGAGUUAGCCGGAUAAUUUUCAGGAUAAGAUGACGUAGAUCAGGCUAUUCGGUUCCCCGAAGCAGGUUUGGAUAAAUCACCAGAGCAACACCUCGAAAAACGAUAUCUGUUAGAUUAACGUUUUAUAGGGAGAGAGUUCUCCAAGAUCCAUUAUGACAUCGCGAUGACGUCCUGAACAAACGCUACCGAUGCUAAAGCCCCACACGGUGCAGCCGAGCAUCCACUGUCCUAUAGACCGUCUCACACUCCGUUUCUCAUACUGUACAUGUUUGUACAGUGUUGCGAUGCAGAGAACAUCUGGAAAGCCACUGCAUGUCGUGCUCUUCAAAAAGUUCUGUUGGUUUACUUGUCGCCUAAAAAACUGAAUGUUUCACUGCUUCAAUUGAUCAAAUUUCAGAUUUUUUUCAUACACAUGAUAAAACUCCUAGUUCUACACGGGCAUCUACACAUACAUAUGAUACAUAUAUCCUAUUCCGUCGUAUCAAUUAGUCUUUGAGAUCAUUAUUCUCAUUGGAUGAUGAUAGAGUCCAUGAAGCCUCCUGCAAGCAGGCACAUUUAAAGAGAUAUAAUCUGAUUGAUUAGUGAUGAGGCACUUAAAAUGACUUUUACCAACACUUGCACAUUCAUCUUCUCUGCGAUACGUUAUCGGGCUUGUAGCUCCCGCAUGGGGGUGGUAUCAGUCUUUGCCAUGAUAAUUUGAUUCAAUUCAUUUUAUCUUGUAUAGCACAAGUGCUUUACAGUACACAUGUGACAUCCUCUGUCCUGAAACUCUCACAUCGUCUGGCCCGCGUUCGAUCAAAGUGGGCAGUAUCUGGCCCAAACCUGAAAUGAGUUUGACGCCACUGGUUUAGAGAGACAGAGGAGGAUCCCUCCCCCCUGGGACAGACAGACUGCGAUGGACGUACAGAAUGAACAACGUGUACAACACGUUAAAAUGUAUCUGACAAAUGAUUCAAAUACAUAUUAUCUCCUCACAUGCGUUCAUGAUCAUCUCCUGCUCAUCAGCGGAGAAAAAAAAAGACACUUCCUUUAAGUUUGUUUGCCGUUGUACCGUUAAAAAAUCCUGGUCUCUGUGGUCGACUCUUCCGCCGCGGUUUUCCUGAUGAAGAACGUCUGGUUCAAUCUUUGAGGAUCAGCCUUUGAGGAACCAAAAGCCUGAGAUCAAUCAUUUUGUUAAUUUGAGCUGGACAUUUGAUCGACUUAGUUGAGCCACGUACGAGGAACAAGGCCCUGGUGUGCCUGGUAACCCUCAAAGACACCGACCAGUGUCGUAUGGGGACAAAAAGUGUGUUGUCCCCCACGUGGUCACAAAGCGUGAGGAGCGAUUGGCAGGUGUAUGACAACUAAGCUGAGGGCUUUGGCAUGAAAGAGAAUGCCUGCCUGCCCCUCCCCCUGUCUGAACAUACGCCUGAACCCUUCUGUCGUGUUCCGGUCAAAUCUGACAAGUUUACAACGUUAAUCAAAUCAUGGAUGUUUUACAUGUGAUAUCGUCAGCACGUGAAAUUGGUAAUGAGCACAUUUAAUUUUGAGUGGUUUAGUCAACCUUGUAACCCCUAUGGUGUUCCCUGUAAAAAGCAAACCCUGGGAAAUAAAUGGGAAACACUAGAUCUGUCGAUUCAUCAGAUUGAAAAAACCUUUCUCACACACACACACAGUUAAAAACAUUUCAAAAUAAACAUCAGGGUGUUUUUAUGGGAUUUCAUCUCUAUGCCACACUUAUGUGCCGAUCCCCGCACGUAAAGCACACCUUCCAGACUAAACAAUGUACCAGAUCUUCCCACUUUCUCACUAAAUAAAGCUUCAUCUGUGCUUUGGUCUCAUUUUACUCUGUGAACACUGAGUAGGCAGCUGAUGGGACCAUUUUCUGUCAUCGAGGCUUUGGUCGUAAUCUUUGAAUCAGAUGAAGAGGUGAUUGAACCAGAGACGGAGGAAAUUGAUCUGGAUUUCGAGUCGGACGGCUAUGGGACUAGUCAACACAUGUCGGGGAAGUGGCACCUGAGGUGACGUUCCAGUCAGGGUGGCUACUUGUUUUGGUAAUCAUCCUCUCAGGAGAGAGGAGCGAGAGUCGAAGACAUAACAAGCAUGAGCCAGGGCCAACACGGUUUGUUGCUUGCAGUUUUAGGAACACAACAUUACAACCUUUCCCCCUCCUUCCAGGCUGGAUGAGGUUAAAAGUGCUCACCUGCUGGUGAAAUUUCUUUUGUUUCCCGGCCAUUCGGCCCUGCUAUUUUUUUUUUUUCAUUAUUUGGUACGCCAUAUUACGAGGCCCCUAAACGCUAUCUUUUGUUGAGGUUGAUGGCAAAAUACGUCGAUCAUUCGUGAUUAUUGAGAGGGAUUUUGUUUAGUCUAUGCGUUGAUUUUACUAUAAUAAAAAUCCUAUUCUGCCUUUAGAAAGAUCAUCAUGGGAAAAAUGAACACUAUACAUUUUAGCUAUUUUUCUGCUACAAUUAUAGUUAUAGCUUCACAAGAGUGAAAAUUACAUCACAGUUCAAAAAGAGGCACUUGAAAAAAACUAUGCUUUGGUCUCUGAGUGCGAUGAAGUACCAUGUUUAUAUUGCAACAUAUCUCAGCUUCUAGCCUGUAUUAUGAAGAAACCAUUUAAAUGCUUCACUGGGGAGUAAAAGGAGCUGCACUCGUUAACUACAGUAAAUGCACAGCUCUACUUCUGCCAAGUAUUUUUAUAGGGUUAUUCACACUUUGUUCUCCACUCUGGUACAACAAACAAAUUACCUAAAGAUCAUCAAAUAUGAAAGAAGAAAAGAUAAGACAAACAAAUUAACACAAAAAAGAGAUGAAAAGACAGGGCACUAGAAGGUUUUUACUUUGAUACAUGUGUUUGUAAAUCAAAAACAAAAAAGGCACUCGGCACUGCAAUUACAGCAAUUUGCUGCAGGGGGAAACAGCUGUUUUCUUCCUUUCAUUGAGGAAGAUGUUUCCCCUUUAAUGUUUUGCUUAAUGUCACCUGUUUUUCCACUCUUAAGACUUUUUUUAUUUAAGUGUUUUUUUUUUUUGGUAACAUAUUUAUACAGAGUUGUUUUACCACUGGUUGAUUGAAAGAACAUGCGAUUGUAGGCAGAUGAGGUCCGAACAUCAGUAAUCUCAUUAUGAAAUCUGGCUUUCUCUCCACGAAACUGGUGGUGAGAUGACUGGAGAGGGCACAACAAGAUGGAUUCUGAAGACAUUUAAAUUUGUGGAAAAAAAAUUGGUUAAAAAAAACAAAAAUUACCAAAAACUUCGCGACCCCCCCUGCAGUACCACGGCGGACCCCCUGGGGGUACUUCACAAAUACAGACAGACUGUUUAUAUAUCAAUUGAAGUCAGGCAGUUAUUGAGCUGAAUGGGUGCUACAUGCACAUUUAAAGAGUAGUACCCUAGCAAAAGACACAAAUGAGUAUGGAAGAGUAUGUACUCCAUAGACGUGCGUUGACUUGCAGUAAUUACAUGAAAUGGAAAUAUUUCAUCUACAGGAUAUACAGUAUGUGAAAGUAAUACAAUAUCACAUUUUCCGUUGUCCUUUUCAUAAAGACAAGUGAAAAGGACAACUCUGGACCUGACUAAUUUAUCAGCAGCGAACAAUGAUUGUCUUGAUUUGAAGCAACCUCGACACAGACGGGCAUCAAUAUUUAAUCAGUCGUGUAACAGUUGGAUUUGAUUAAAUGCGGGAGGCGCUACUCAGUGCCAAGGGCAGCAGAGACCUUCUUUUUGGAAAAACCAUUAACCCAAAACAAUGUUAACUCAUUGUGCGCUCCGAUGAGUGUUUUUAGUGGCCGAAAGCACGUUCCACCUGAUUAAGGAUGGCACACAGCAACCAUGUUUAGAGGGAUAACAUUGUGGAGUGUUGAACCCUUCAUUUUUGUUUCUUUGUAAACCAGAAGACCUGAGGGCGUAGAGGUGUGUUUGAGGAGCGAAAAAGAAAGAAAAAAAAACAUGUAAAGAAAUGGACACCAGAAUUAUGCAAAUGCCUGUGGUAUUUUUUUAAAGGGGUUGAAGGUUAACAACAGUUAAAAUGACCAUGGGCAUGGGAAGUGAGCGAUGUCUAAGUGAAGUGUUGUCGCAGCACUAGCAUUUUGAGUAAUGAUGGUACACAGAUGGGCAACAACAGUUAGUUAGCAGGAGCCAAUUAAAUGUAGCCAAUCAACCAUCUGCGAAUUAACAGGCUGUCGGGUUUCGAGCAGCCUCUUUUCAAUGUAUGCCAAUCAACAUGGAGUACGGCAGAGCGCUCGAGGAGAGGGCAGGGGCACACAAAAGGGCUCCACAGUUGCCCGUGCUUUAACAGCGCCACUUAAUUGUAUGUGUGCAAUCUUGGGGCACAGCGGACAUGAUGCCGCUCCUGCAUGUUAAAGCAUCCUCAAUAUACAGUAGACAAAGCAAUUGUAUGGACACGAGAAGCACAUUAGUCUUUAGAGUUCAAUUUGUAUGCUGCACUGGUUUUCUAAUUUUCUUGCAUCGCGGUGACUGACAUCUGUCGGUUCUAGCUGGCUACUGUUCCAUGAUGGCUCCUUAGAUUCCAGAGAGAAACGGCGAGAGCUGGAAGAAAUAGCGCUAACGGAGGUUCCACUCAGUCUGUCCCACUGAGCAGCACGGUUUGAGAGAAGUUAUACGCUACAAACACAAGUAAUAAGUAUUACAACAGAAACAAAACAGUAACUUUACCAUUAAAAUACAACAAAUAAUUUAUUGCAGAAUAUAUAUGCCUUUAAUGUUAUGCAACGUUUUAAUUGAUCUCAAACUGACAGUUUUACAGGAACCUGUGCAGCACUGAGUAACAAAGUCACACAGCUCCUCAUAUAUCAUUUGUGGUUCAUCCCCACUUUUCACAAAGAUUCUGGCAUUCACCAAUGUUUUCUCAUUUGGGAUUUGUUCUUCAGUAAGAACACUCUUCCACACAAUUGAGAGCUGACAUGUUUGUGCAAAAUGAGUAGUAGCAAAAGUAGGCGUAUUCCGCACACUAGGACUACACCACACAAUGGCGUAUUGACUGCUCCUGCAAAAGUAUUUUUGUUAGUGUGCACACGCCCUCCCAUCUCAUGACCUUUUAUGGGAAUUAAAUGGGCGUUAACCUUUGCUAAAUAGGGGCAAUGGGGCACGAGCUUUCAAUUUACGACAUACUGGCAUUCAUCAUUCUAAGACCGCACCUGUGAACAAUUCAGCUGUGUAGGGACACGUCAUGAAUCACGCGUAGACAUCUUAGGAACUUUCUUAAGAACAAAUGUAAGAAAUAACUUAGGACGAUAUUAUUGAAUGAGCCCCAAUGUUAUUUAGCCUGCGUCAGUCCGCUUUGCCUCUUAUCCUCUUGUUGAACACGAACAUAAUGCAUCAUCGGCGCAUUACCGACCACAGUGUAACAUCUAUCCAUAGACUUGUUACAUAUUUUCAUACAUGUGCUUUGCUGUUAAAUUAUUUUAACAAACUGCCUUUUAUAAGAGCAGUGUUGUAUCAUCACUUGUGUCUGGAUCACGAGGUGAUGGUGGUUCACUGUCACUGUUUUCAUCUGGUUACAAAGCUGAAUAGGUUCAACAUUCUUCAAAAUGUCUUCAUUACACAAAUUGUAGAACCUCCCUGUGUACUUUUUUUCUGUAGUUUCAGGGAUUUCAGUUAAUAACUGUUUGGGCUCCAAUGUAGAUUUCACAGCUUAAACUUAUAGCAGCGGCGUUCUGUGUUUGGGAUGCCAUGUGACCGUGGAAAUAGGCAUGAUGUCACCACUAUGUUGAAAGAGUCAAUCUUCAUGUUUUAAUUGUGAAGCUGUUUUGAAAGUCCCCCAAAGUGGGAAUGCAGUAAUAUAUUUGUCAGCUUUUGCAUUGUGGGGAAGCUGGAGGAACACGAUGACAUUCGGUAUUCACAUCUCACAGGUUUGAACACUAUUAAAAGGUUUAUCAUGUUCUCAACAGUCUGCAUGAAGUAAGAAACGUUAUCAGCAUUUAACUUCAACUCUGUGUUCUCCUUGCAAUAAACUGACCUGUUUAAGUCUGGUUAAAGCAUACUUCUUGAUUUAUUUAAUCUGUCCUGUUAAGAUUGGAGAAUAAACACAAACACUUAUUUAAAAUGAGUUAAAGUGACUGUGAUACUUUAUAGACAAUAAUAUGUUGUGCUCUUUUCUACCUGCUGCUCUUUUUUCAAUGCAUUGACAUUUUUGUUACCAAAGGUAAUAACGUUUGCUUUGGGCGCCUUAUGAAGCAAGAAAGUACCAGUUAGUGACUGUUGAGUGUGUGCUUUAAAAUGUCAUUGAAGAUGUUAUCCAAAGGCUCAGCGAUACUGCGGUGUUGAUAGAGCAUGGAAAAAGAAAAACAUCUCAGUCAUUUUACAGCUGAGAACUUGAAACCUACAGCGCAAGCAGCUUUGGUCUGACUUGUCGUAAAAUGCAGCUUCAACCGUGGACCCAGCAUUUCUUUUCUCUGUGCAUAUAAAGACCCAAUUAGAAACCGUAUAAAACAGCUUGCUUCAUGAGAAAAUGAGCUUGGAGUUUCUUGUUAGUUUCUUCUUUUUAUCCAGUACUGACAGCCUCAAAACCUAAUUUCAACUAAAAGUGAUCACGUGCCAAAACUAUCAAAGCACAUAGUUAAAGGCAUCCUCUGCCACUUUAAUCAAUACGUAUUAAAUUUGGAUCACAAUAUAUAAGUAUUUAAUAGCUGCACACAUUUGUUUCAGGAAUUGUUUAGAUUUUCUUGCCAUAAUUUCAAGAUACCAUGUUACAUAUACCAGGGUCUAAACUUCAUCAAAAAUCCCUUCCACAUUGUAUGUUUCUCUUACUUCAUCUAAAAUAUUCACUGCAUUUCAGCAGGGACUUGAGUGUCAUUUGUCACAGAAACUGCAACUCUGACGGCGCUGACUGGUUUCCCGUGGAGAACCGGCUAGUGACACCGGGGAAGUGAGAAGAAGGGAGCAAAAUGAUGAGAGAGGGAGAGAAAACUGUUCCCAUAGCAACGGAAUAAGAGAAAAAUUGACGCGGUGGGAUGCAUGCGCUGUCCUGCUCCAGAGUGUUUGUGCCUGUGUAGACUUUCACACUCACUUAAGUAUGUUACCCUCUCCUUUAUAGUCCUUUCAUCUCGGUCUUGAUGUAAAAGCAGCAUGUUGCUGCUUCCACAAACAUUAGAUCCACUAAUUGGACGCACUCCAACAGCGCAUAACGAGUCGAUAUGAAGAAAACAACGAACCUCUCAUCAGUCAGAAGGAGGAAACUGCCACAAGCAUCCCACACAUUCUUCGUCGUUACCUUACUGGAGUCAGCCUGGGUUGCUUUGGAAUGAAAUGGGUCCGUUAGUAAGCAAGAAUCGCUAAUUAGCAUUAGUUUUGGUCAUCUCCCGCGGUAGACCGCACAUGCGUGACGUCAUUUUUUUUUUUGAUGGCAUGCGAUUGACUGGUACUGCUUUUGAGAUCGACUGAUCCCUGCUGUGGAUCAUCUUCAGCAGCUGGGUUAUGAUUGACCAGCCCCAUACUGGGGCCUAGGCAACUGAUUUGAAGUGAUCUAAGAUGAAGAAAUUCAACCUGUCAAAGACGAUGACGGCGCACUUCUACACAGCCUUCAUUGAGUCCAUCCUCUGCUCCUCCAUCACCGUCUGGUAUGCUGCAGCCACAGCCAAGGACAAGGGCAGGCUGCAACGUGUCAUCCGCUCUGCAGAGAGGGUGAUCGGCUGAAAUCUGCCGUCCCUGCAGGACUUGUUCGCUUCCAUGUCUCUGAAGCGAGCUAAAAAGAUCGUAGCUGACCCCUCUCACCCCGGACAAAACCACUUUGUGCCCCUUCCAUCUGGCAGGAGGCUUAGGUCCAUCAGGACUAAGACCUCCCGCCACACGAACAGCUUCUUCCCGUCGGCAGUCGGGGUCAUCAACAGAGCCCGGUCCCCCACUGACUGACUCAUCUGUCAUCCCUCUCCACCUCCACAUACAGUAAAGUUAAAAAGUAAACGAACGAACAGAAAGUGACACAAUGUACACUUGUCACUUUCUGUUCGUUCGUUUACUUUUUAACUUUUAUUUUUAAUAUAAAUUCCUCUUGCACUAUGUUGUCAUAUGUCUUAUUGUCCAUUGUCUUUGGUUAUGCACCACCCGCCAAGUCAAAUUCCUUGUAUGUCUUACAUAUUUUGGUAAUAAAUGUUCCUGAUUAAUGUGUGGGAACUCAAUUCGAUUAGUUGUUGAUUACAUUCCUCUUCAUUACCACGGGGUCAUGCAAUUUACAGAGUAUUGGCUGUUUCUACCUGAAGAAACACACACACACACAAGAUUGAAGCAACAAACAGGUAAAAGCCGCAGCAGUAGCUGGUUUGGGUCGAGCUGUGGGACCUCCACCCAGGUACCUAACCUUCAGUAACGCUGUACAAGCAGGGAGCGAGAUGUAGGUGAUGUUAUGCAGACAAACGCAUAUAUGUGAUCGCGCACACACAGACGCACACGUAUCCAAACACACACUCUAAUUUCCUCACAUUCCUGCAAACAUGGACUGUAAGAUGCACACACACAAUGAAGUCUCUAUAAGUUCUAACUUGAAUCAGAGAGGUUUUGGUGGUUUGGUGUGACAAAUUCUCUGUCUUAUUAGUUUUUCUCCUGUCUGCCUGCUUGUCAAUUAACUCUGCUGUUGUUCCAGACGAUCAACAACAUGCGAUCAUCUCUCAUUCUCUUCACCUGGUUCUCAUGCCCUUCCCACCUGCAGCCCAUUCCCCCAUUAGUCCCUCACUAUUUAGGUCCACAGACUUGCCCUCUGCCAGAUCCCCUUGUGUGCUACUGCCAAGCUCUCUAACGCAUCUUGAUUUAAUUCCUAAUGUGCCUGUUCCGACCCUGUUUGCCUGAUUUUUGCUGGUCCCCUUUUUGGAGGUGUUUGCCUGUUGGACUGAUAUCCCGGUUUUGACCCUGCCUGAACACAAGUAAAGCACUUAAUUGCAUUUCUGUAUCCAAGUUGUGCUUUUGGGUUCUAGUACCUGUAAUCCAUAUAUAUAUAUGGAUUACAUAUAUUAUAAUUAUACACAUUGUGUAUGACGAUACACACGUGUAUUGGUGUGUGUGUGUAGAUGCAUGCUAUUGUCUUCCCAUUCCCACAAGGUGGAAAAGCC
ensembl:lncRNA